UCCAAAUCUAAUGCUACAUUUUAAUUUUCCUUCAUUUUUUCUUUUCAAAAUUCAACUUAACCUUCCAUUUUCCUAAAACAAAAAUUUUAUCCCCUAUCACUAGGGUUUGGCUCAACAUGCAGCCGCCCAAACCAUCAUUUAUUUGAUGGCCAACGGAGCACCAAUGGUGACCGGAUUUUGCCAACGGAAGCCACGCCCAUGGAGAUCUGGAACGGUCGUACGGAGAGCGAGGAAACGGCUCGUGGAAACCCGACCCCCUGGCACUAUUCUGGCGUAUUCUAGAAGUUUCUGGCACUCUGCUGAGAUUCCUUUUGGUCUUUUCGGGUUUGGGCUAUUCGGGCAUUGGUUCAAAUGUAAUUGGGUCGGAUUUGUUUUUUAUUUUUGGGCUAGUAUAAGUUUAGUGUUUAUUAAAGGUUGUAAGUGGACUAUUUGGACUUUACUUGACUUUUCAUUUGGAUUUAUUUGUCUGACUAUUUAUUUAUUGCAAGUAAAUAAAUAAAAUAGGGGCCCGGGCAAAAUUGGUUAA